rnacentral:tmRNA from 1 species
GGGGUAGUAAAGGUUUCGACAGGGAAUCUGAAGAUGGAGAAGCAGGUCGCAGGCAUGCGUUAAAUCCAAAAUUAAAAUUAAACGCUGAAGAUAAUUUAGCAUACGCAGCCUAAUGGCUGCUGUCUGACCUAGUGCACCUACACAUUGGGACUCAGGCAUCGAUGAUGUAGGAAACGACACAUGCAAAGCUUUGCGCAUGUGGGUGUAUCAUGAAGCUACUGACUGUUCAGGGGUGUUGACUCGCCUGAACGGAAAGGAAUUGGGCUUGCCCGAAACAGUCAACUAAACCUGUAGAAGUACAUGGGAUGGUUUUUUGGACACGGGUUCGACUCCCGUCUACUCCACUC